GAUGAACGCUGGCGGCGUGCCUAAUACAUGCAAGUCGAACGCAUUGUGGUUGAAAUGAUAUGAAGAACUUGUUCAGAUUUGAUUUUCAACAUUGCAAUGAGUGGCGAACGGGUGAGUAACACGUGGGAAACCUACCUCUUAGCAGGGGAUAACAUUUGGAAACAAAUGCUAAUACCGUAUAAUAAUUAAAACCGCAUGGUUUUAGUUUAAAAGAUGGUCUUGCUAUCACUAAGAGAUGGUCCCGCGGUGUAUUAGUUAGUUGGUGAGGUAAUGGCUCACCAAGACAAUGAUACAUAGCCGAGUUGAGAGACUGACCGGCCACAAUGGGACUGAGACACGGGCCCAUACUCCUACGGGAGGCAGCAGCAGG
rnacentral:rRNA from 1 species